rnacentral:rRNA from 1 species
UACGUAGGGUGCAAGCGUUGUCCGGAAUUAUUGGGCGUAAAGAGCUCGUAGGCGGUUUGUCGCGUCUGCUGUGAAAUCCCGAGGCUCAACCUCGGGCCUGCAGUGGGUACGGGCAGACUAGAGUGCGGUAGGGGAGAUUGGAAUUCCUGGUGUAGCGGUGAAAUGCGCAGAUAUCAGGAAGAACACCCGUGGCGAAGGCGGCUCUCUGGGACGGUACUGACGCUGAGACGCGAAAGCGUGGGGAGCAAACAGG